AUUGAACGCUAGCGGGAUGCCUUACACAUGCAAGUCGAACGGAGGGGCGAACGGGUGAGUAAUGUCUAGGAACGUGCCCCGUAGCGGGGGAUAACUACGCGAAAGCGUAGCUAAUACCGCAUACUAUGGGAGCGGCCGAGAUCGGAUUAGCUAGGUGGUGGGGUAACGGCUCACCAAGGCGACGAACCGUAGCUGGUUGGCGAGGACGACCAGCCACACCGGGACUGAGACACGGGCCAGACGCCGACGGGAGGCAGCAGUGGGGAAUUUUGGACAAUGGGGGAAACCCUGAUCCAGCCAUCCCGCGUGUGCGAUGAAGGCCUUCGGGUUGUAAAGCACUUUUGGCAGGAAAGCGGUACCUGCAGAAUAAGCACCGGCUAACUACGUGCCAGCAGCCGCGGUAAUAC
rnacentral:rRNA from 1 species